rnacentral:rRNA from 1 species
GGUUAAGCGACUAAGCGUACACGGUGGAUGCCCUGGCAGUCAGAGGCGAUGAAGGACGUGCUAAUCUGCGAAAAGCGUCGGUAAGGUGAUAUGAACCGUUAUAACCGGCGAUGUCCGAAUGGGGAAACCCAGUGCAAUUCGUUGCACUAUCGUUAACUGAAUACAUAGGUUAACGAGGCGAACCGGGGGAACUGAAACAUCUAAGUACCCCGAGGAAAAGAAAUCAACCGAGAUUCCCCCAGUAGCGGCGAGCGAACGGGGAGCAGCCCAGAGUCUGAAUCAGCUUGUGUGUUAGUGGAACGGUCUGGAAAGUCCGACGGUACAGGGUGAUAGUCCCGUACACCAAAAUGCACAGGCUGUGAACUCGAAGAGUAGGGCGGGACACGUGGUAUCCUGUCUGAAUAUGGGGGGACCAUCCUCCAAGGCUAAAUACUCCUGACUGACCGAUAGUGAACCAGUACCGUGAGGGAAAGGCGAAAAGAACCCCGGCGAGGGGAGUGAAAAAGAACCUGAAACCGUGUACGUACAAGCAGUGGGAGCACCUUCGGGUGUGACUGCGUACCUUUUGUAUAAUGGGUCAGCGACUUAUAUUCUGUAGCAAGGUUAACCGUAUAGGGGAGCCGCAGGGAAACCGAGUCUUAACUGGGCGUUAAGUUGCAGGGUAUAGACCCGAAACCCGGUGAUCUAGCCAUGGGCAGGUUGAAGGUUGGGUAACACUAACUGGAGGACCGAACCGACUAAUGUUGAAAAAUUAGCGGAUGACUUGUGGCUGGGGGUGAAAGGCCAAUCAAACCGGGAGAUAGCUGGUUCUCCCCGAAAGCUAUUUAGGUAGCGCCUCGUGAACUCAUCUUCGGGGGUAGAGCACUGUUUCGGCUAGGGGGUCAUCCCGACUUACCAACCCGAUGCAAACUACGAAUACCGAAGAAUGUUAUCACGGGAGACACACGGCGGGUGCUAACGUCCGUCGUGAAGAGGGAAACAACCCAGACCGCCAGCUAAGGUCCCAAAGUCAUGGUUAAGUGGGAAACGAUGUGGGAAGGCACAGACAGCCAGGAUGUUGGCUUAGAAGCAGCCAUCAUUUAAAGAAAGCGUAAUAGCUCACUGGUCGAGUCGGCCUGCGCGGAAGAUGUAACGGGGCUAAACCAUGCACCGAAGCUGCGGCAGCGACACUAUGUGUUGUUGGGUAGGGGAGCGUUCUGUAAGCCUGCGAAGGUGUGCUGUGAGGCAUGCUGGAGGUAUCAGAAGUGCGAAUGCUGACAUAAGUAACGAUAAAGCGGGUGAAAAGCCCGCUCGCCGGAAGACCAAGGGUUCCUGUCCAACGUUAAUCGGGGCAGGGUGAGUCGACCCCUAAGGCGAGGCCGAAAGGCGUAGUCGAUGGGAAACAGGUUAAUAUUCCUGUACUUGGUGUUACUGCGAAGGGGGGACGGAGAAGGCUAUGUUAGCCGGGCGACGGUUGUCCCGGUUUAAGCAUGUAGGCUGGUUGUCCAGGCAAAUCCGGAUAAUCAAGGCUGAGGUGUGAUGACGAGGCACUACGGUGCUGAAGUAACAAAUGCCCUGCUUCCAGGAAAAGCCUCUAAGCAUCAGGUAACAUUAAAUCGUACCCCAAACCGACACAGGUGGUCAGGUAGAGAAUACCAAGGCGCUUGAGAGAACUCGGGUGAAGGAACUAGGCAAAAUGGUGCCGUAACUUCGGGAGAAGGCACGCUGGUGUGUAGGUGAAGCCCCUGCGGGUGGAGCUGAGACCAGUCGAAGAUACCAGCUGGCUGCAACUGUUUAUUAAAAACACAGCACUGUGCAAACACGAAAGUGGACGUAUACGGUGUGACGCCUGCCCGGUGCCGGAAGGUUAAUUGAUGGGGUUAUCCGUAAGGAGAAGCUCUUGAUCGAAGCCCCGGUAAACGGCGGCCGUAACUAUAACGGUCCUAAGGUAGCGAAAUUCCUUGUCGGGUAAGUUCCGACCUGCACGAAUGGCGUAAUGAUGGCCAGGCUGUCUCCACCCGAGACUCAGUGAAAUUGAACUCGCUGUGAAGAUGCAGUGUACCCGCGGCAAGACGGAAAGACCCCGUGAACCUUUACUAUAGCUUGACACUGAACAUUGAGCCUUGAUGUGUAGGAUAGGUGGGAGGCUUUGAAGCGUGGACGCCAGUCUGCGUGGAGCCAACCUUGAAAUACCACCCUUUAAUGUUUGAUGUUCUAACGUUGGCCCCUGACCGGGGUUGCGGACAGUGUCUGGUGGGUAGUUUGACUGGGGCGGUCUCCUCCCAAAGCGUAACGGAGGAGCACGAAGGUUAGCUAAUCCUGGUCGGACAUCAGGAGGUUAGUGCAAUGGCAUAAGCUAGCUUGACUGCGAGCGUGACGGCGCGAGCAGGUGCGAAAGCAGGUCAUAGUGAUCCGGUGGUUCUGAAUGGAAGGGCCAUCGCUCAACGGAUAAAAGGUACUCCGGGGAUAACAGGCUGAUACCGCCCAAGAGUUCAUAUCGACGGCGGUGUUUGGCACCUCGAUGUCGGCUCAUCACAUCCUGGGGCUGAAGUAGGUCCCAAGGGUAUGGCUGUUCGCCAUUUAAAGUGGUACGCGAGCUGGGUUUAGAACGUCGUGAGACAGUUCGGUCCCUAUCUGCCGUGGGCGCUGGAGAAUUGAGGGGGGCUGCUCCUAGUACGAGAGGACCGGAGUGGACGCAUCACUGGUGUUCGGGUUGUCAUGCCAAUGGCACUGCCCGGUAGCUAAAUGCGGAAGAGAUAAGUGCUGAAAGCAUCUAAGCACGAAACUUGCCCCGAGAUGAGUUCUCCCUGAGACUUUAAGUCUCCUGAAGGAACGUUGAAGACGACGACGUUGAUAGGCCGGGUGUGUAAGCGCAGCGAUGCGUUGAGCUAACCGGUACUAAUGAACCGUGAGGCUUAACCUU